rnacentral:misc_RNA from 1 species
AGUACUUCACCAUCAUUUCCACACUGCUUGAAAUAUUCACCCAACUCAACUUCUAGCCACCCAUCACUUCUAUUCGGAUGCCGCAGUCUCAGCAUGUGACUCCGCCUAGUACUCCGUAGAUGCUGCUCUAGUUCAGGGUGCAAACAGACUGUUCCUGUACUAUUUCUUUCACCUUCAGAUAUGCCAACUGAAACAUCUAUUGGAUGAAGGAUAAAUCCCCUUGCAUCUGUCCGCAUCUUAAAUA